GUGGCUGUAGCUCAGUGGUAGAGCCUACGCUUCGUACGCGGGAAGAUCUCGGUUCGAUUCCCGGCUGCUUUC
rnacentral:tRNA from 1 species